UCCAGAGUCGCUUGGAUCUCAAAGAACCAGUCCAGAAAGAACAGAAGUACCGAAACAAAAUAAUUGGGACUCUUUAUGAAAUGCUGUCACAGUACACAAUGUACCCAACCCACUCAGACUACAUCCAGGUCAUCAAAGCCCUGAUUGUGAAGUAUCCUUUCUUAAGAGAUGUACACGGAAAUGGUUAUGACACCUGGCACAGCCAACUCAAGAGAAAGUUCAAAGCAGAACGGGCUCCCCUAAUCAGCAACGAAGAAGUGAACCGGGUUAAAGAAAAGUUUGG